UUUGACCUAUCAGCGUUUGGAAAAGAUUUGAUACGCAUGCGCACUGUCUUUGAAUUCAAAACGAAUAGUARCAGCAGCGAGUGCUUUGAAAGCUAACGUUAGCUAACAUGCAAAUGGCUGACAGAAUCAUUUCGGCUGUUUCGGAUUACCCUGAGUUGUAUAACAUAACUUUAAACUCAUACAGGGAUUCACAGAGAAAGGCAAGGGCAUGGAGGGCUGUAAGUCUGCAAGUGGAAAUGCCUGGUAAGGUCAGCUUGCUGCUAGCAAUAGCUUGCUAACUACCCAGUUAACGUUAGCUAGUAAGCUAGCCAACUAGCUAGCUAUAGCUACCCAGCUACUUGAACUGUUGUUGACCAAACUUUCUCUCACCUAGGUAGCUACGUACCUAGCUACAUCCUUAGCUAGCUAGCUACCUGCCAAUUGUUAUCCCCCCAAAUAAAACAACAAUGUGAUCCCUGCAAUAAGUGGAUGACUGUCGGAAUAAAUGGAAGAACCUGAGGGACACUUUUGUCAAAUUCAAGCGGGCUGAGCAGCAGAGGAGAGCAUCUGGGGAGCUGGACAUUCACAAGAAGACCUGGAUGCACAGCAGGAGCAUGUCCUUCCUUACCCCCUUCAUCCAGGCCAAGGGCUUGCAAGGAGACACCACAGAUGACUUGGAAGAGGAGGAAAGGGAGAGGAACAGGGAAAGUGCCACAGAAGGUGUGGACGAUAAAUCAGCCUACAUUAUCCAUGAGAUCGAGGGGGACCAGGCAGACGAUGAGGAUGCUCCCUCUCCUGACACUGUGUCGGAAUCCAAUGGGCCCAGCCGGAAGAGAAGGUGGCAGAUGGAUGGGAUGGACGGACUGGAGGACAUAGAAGAUGAGAUGUUCUUCUUUAGUUUGCUCCCGUAUCUUAGGAAGCUCCCCCAUAGAAAGAAGAGUGCUGUAAAAUUGAAAAUACACCAACUUCUACAUGAAGCAGCAUUCCAAUAACCCACUGCCCAGCCCCUGCCCUCAAUUCUGUUUCCAUGGUUUUGUAAACACAAGCCUUCAUUUUGUCCUGUUAUCAACUAUUGUUCUAUAUUCAGUUUGAUACUAUGCCUGUUUAUGGUUAUUGCAAAGUCAAGUGUUAACAAAUAAACACUUUCAACAUUU